AUCCCUCAAAUGAUACAAACCCUAGCUCCCCUCAAGUCUCUAACUACAGCCGCCAGCUCACUUCGGCACUUUCUCCGCCCACCCGCAGCUGCCACACUUCGCCCAGCCGCAGUCCUGCUUCCGCCCGGCCAACUUCGGCAUUUCCUCUCAACAAUAUCACACGAUCGGCGAUUUGGAUUCCAGCCUCAACUCCGAUCGCCAACGAGCGACUCCAAUCCUUCGGUCUCACAAAGGGGAAGCUAACAUCCACUGCUCUAAUGUAGGCUUCACAUAUUCAUCAUCAGACUUGACAAGUUUACAGUCCAAAAAGAGCUCAACUAUGGAUUCUCUUACUUCUGACGAUGUAUCUUCAUCAGCGACUUCAUCGUGCAUUUUGGUGAAGCAUGGUUGCAGGAGAGUGCAGAGGCUGUUUCAUCACCUCAUCUGCAGUGGAGCUCAAUCGGUUGAUGCAUGAGGAUGAACCAAGUCUCCUACGUUAGAGAAUGCACUACUUCCAGCAAUAAUGUUAUGAUCAAUUGUUUGCCUAAAUUCUUCAAUUCAAGUGUUAAAACUUUUAGUUAGUGUUGCUAUGUGACCAAAGAAACUUAUUCUUAUUUACUACUUGUCUGUUUCAGUGCUAAUAUUGGUUCUUCUGUGUAUUGAGCUUCUUCAAGCCUUCGCUUUUCCUCUAGCAGUAUAACUCGAGUGCUUGUUAGCCAAAAGGGGCUUAGAACACAUCAUUUUUUCUAAUAAAAUCAAACGAGAAAUUGAAUUGGAAAUUUGAGGAUCUGAUAACAAAGAAGAUGUGGGUUUAUGAACGAUUACUUGUAAAACUCGAGCAAAGAUCUUAGUUCUUUCUGAGAAAACAGAUCUUAAGACUAUCAGAGAUUUCGAGAGGUUAGGGAUGUCCCAGACUCUGCAUGUCUUGUCUUGGUUACCCGUUGCAAAUGUACAGCCAUCAGGGCUCCAUGCCGAUGCAAAGGAGUCCAUAUGGCCAUGCAAGUCUUGGAUGUUCUUUAGUAAGAGUAAGUGUAAGUGCAUUUUUUUUCUUUUUUCCUUAUUAUUAUUUUGGAGGUAAGUUUGUUUUGCAGGUAUUACCUUUCCAGUAUGAGCAUCAACCAGGAUUCCCUCAGGAUGAGUGCUGUAAUGAACAUAAAGAGGAGUCAACAGAUCAGAUAUGAGAAAAAAAAUACAAAUUUCAUCCUAGUGUUCCCUACUGAAUGCUCAGAAUACAUACUAGAUUUUGGUGAACUUUUACAACAAAAUCUGGUUCAUAUGUCAUGACAAGGAUUGCAAAUGAUUAGGAGAUGGGUCAGGAACCAAAUAAAGUCCAAUACAAACAUUGCAACAUUCCGGUCGAUGCCCAUCCAAAAAUCACACAUUCACAUCACACAGAAGCCAACCCAGUCCUCUUCCCAGGCUUCCAGCAUAGUAAAGACCAAUGGUGAAUCAGGUUAAGCCGGACGAAGAGAGCAGAAAUAAUAAUAUUUUUAGUCAUGAACUGAUUCAUACUCCAAUACAACAUAUUUAUGAAUAUUUGACAACAUAUUUAUGAAUAUUUGAUAUGAAAGGAGAACACUGAAAUAAGAAUUACACAUAUCAUAGCAUCCGUGCACCGCAGCUGCUUAUAUUAUGAUGUUGUAUCCGUUCCACACAUGGCCUCUUAUUUUAGCAUUAGAGAUGCGUCACACGCUCAAAUGUGUCUUAAACUAUAUAAUAGAUGUUUUAAUGUAGAGCCCUCAUACACUCCUUGGACAUUUACCACAUUUUCAUCAACGUUGUUACUCGCAUUACAUGUUUUGAGAUUUUUAGUUACUUUCAGUGUUUCAUUUAUAUGCUAGAGCC